AUUCCAUCAAUUUCCUGAUCAAAACAUUGCAUUCGUCUGUAUGUAAAUGUGGCGACAAAUCAGUGUGCAUGCCUUGCGUCUGAAUUAGUCGCGAAAUAUGUAAUUAAAUUCACAAGUACUUUUAACAUAACCAACUUGGACCUCCAAAGUCCGUACAAACCGCAAAGCGCACAAUACAGCAAAAUACAAGCCAGCAAAGAAACAAUGUCAUUGUCAAAACUGACAGAUUGUUUGACAUUAGGAACCAUGUCUCAUGUGUGUUUUGUCAUGAUUAAUAUCACAAAACAAAAUUAUUUUAUUUUUUGAUAAAAAACUUUUUCUUUGCAGAUAGUUUCUCAUAAUUAUAUUUAUUAAUUUAUAAUGACUCUUUUUCUUUUCUAAUAAAAUAAGGUAAAAUACCUGGUGUAGCCUACUAAUUCCAUGGUGUAGGUAUCUAAUAUCUGUGGUGUGUAGGCAUGGAAUUAGUAGGUACUCCGUACAACCUCCAUGGGUGUUGGUAGGUCGCCAACACUCUUGUCAUGCCUGACAUGUCAUGACACCUGACCCUGGUGGUGCAGAUAAGCUGCGGCGGUGACCACUCUGCAUCAUGUGGGUCGCAUGCCUGUUUGCUGCUAAAGAGGUUUCGUUGUAGAGUACCUACAUUUUAGCGACCUGUUGGCAUAAUGGAUCAUGACGACCGUUCUUUGGUCUUUGUGCUAGACUGACAAACCUGAAGUAUCGACACGUACCUACCCAACUGCUACUACUAUUUAAUUUAUGAAUGCAUAGUAAUCAACGAUGAUGUUAUUUCACUCAGAAUAUUUUUUCUUUUUCUGUAGUCUAAAUGGCAACCAAAGGGGUUUUUGACCAAAAAAGUUUUUGCCCACAUUAAGCUUGUAAUUAAUACGGGAUAUUUUACCUAGCUAUUUCAUAAAUUAAAAACUGAUUUUUUUAAAACUUUUAUUAUUACUUAAAUAGUCACAUUGUCUCUCAUAAGUUUAUGAUACCUAAGAAGAAAUAGGGCAGAGACCGCUUAAGAUGAUAUAUAUUUUAUGAUUAGUCCUAAAAUGGAAGGAACUCACCUCAAUAAAUAAACAAAAUAACAACGUUCACUAACAAACUUUAACAUAAUGACUAGAUUAAUUUAUCGCAUUUUUGAGACUUUAUAAGACAGUGUUAAUUAGGGAGUUGGAAAUUGUCUUGCAUUUUACUUACUACCGUCACUAAUAAACGCACGAAACAAAUCACACAUUCAAU